CACGGGAUGUUAAAAAACUAACAAAACUAACAACACGUGGACAAUAGGGACAUCAUAUCUAUUGUGUUCAGCCAUCUCUUAUGUUUGAAUAAGUGGAGUACUACUUCAAUCUGAUAAGUAUAUCAUUCAUGCCAAUUAUCCCCUCUUCCCUCUCACUUUCCUACAACAUUUUAUAACUUGUUACUUAGCAUCUAUUCAUCUUGAUAUUCUGGUAUAUAUGUAGUUUUCAUGUGUUGAUGUCAUUGUAUUAGUGUUGUAAGAGCCACCAGAAAAUUUCUCAUUUAUCAGAGGAUAUUUUUUCCAAUGUCAAGGAUACUUCACAUAGCACCCAUUUCUGCCAGCUUUGGCACCUAUUUCUUUGUUGGGGAGGCAUUAAAUUUUGAUGAUGCUGGAGCCUUUGCAAGGAACUGUGGUAACUGUUCACUGUCGUAAGAACUGAAAUUCUGGAACAAGAACUGCUAUUACCUAUCAGCAAUGCAGGAGGUGUUCCCUUUCUAUGGAAAGCUAGAUGGAAGUACCCUGGAAUGGUUGUCAAAGCUGGAUGUUUUGUUGUUUUACUAUUCGCUUUGCAAGGGAUAUGGAAUCAGCAAGAGUGGUCCAUUGGUAGAAGAUUGUUCAUAGUCCAAGAAUCAAAAUGGAGGGAAUUUAAAAUUGGUUCCAUUGGAAUUGUUUCAUCAAAAUUUAUUUUGGUUAUUCUUCAAUUGGUGGUCAUGUACUUCAGCAUAGAAUGGUCCAAGAUUCAACCUGCUCAAAUAUCCAGAUAAACUUUUGAUUCCUAUUCUAUGCCCAAAAUAAUCUGAAAAUUGCUGAUACUUUUCCAAUGUCAAGGAUGCUUCACGAUUGUUUGGUUUUGGGGUAAUUUUUUAUCUCUUUGAGAACUGAAGUUUAGAAACUGGAGUGCUACUACCUACCAGUAAAGCAAGUGCACUCCCUUUUCAUGUAAAGCUAAAUGAAGAGCUGAAGCUUGAAUUGGUUCCAAAUUUCCAAUCUAAUUGUUUCAUUGAAAUUUGAGAUAAAAGAAGCUACAAAACCAACAUAUAUUUGAAGUCAUAAAUACACUAUGACAAUGGCUCUACUUGAUUAUGCAAAGAUAUGGUGACAACACUAAAAUUCCUACCUGCCCUCUUCGAAGCUUCUCCAAGGGAAUUCCAACCA